rnacentral:rRNA from 1 species
AUUGAACGCUGGCGGCAGGCUUAACACAUGCAAGUCGAGCGGAGAUGAGGUGCUUGCACCUUAUCUUAGCGGCGGACGGGUGAGUAAUGCUUCGGAAUCUGCCUAUUAGUGGGGGACAACAUUCCGACAGGAAUGCUAAUACCGCAUACGUCCUACGGGAGAAAGCAGGGGAUCUUCGGACCUUGCGCUAAUAGAUGAGCCUAAGUCGGAUUAGCUAGUUGGUGGGGUAAAGGCCUACCAAGGCGACGAUCUGUAGCGGGUCUGAGAGGGAUGAUCCGCCACACUGGGACUGAGACACGGCCCAGACUCCUACGGGAGGCAGCAGUGGGGAAUAUUGGACAAUGGGGGGAACCCUGAUCCAGCCAUGCCGCGUGUGUGAAGAAGGCCUUAUGGUUGUAAAGCACUUUAAGCGAGGAGGAGGCUACUGAGACUAAUACUCUUGGAUAGUGGACGUUACUCGCAGAAUAAGCACCGGCUAACUCUGUGCCAGCCGCCGCCGUAA